rnacentral:rRNA from 1 species
UAUUUAGACGAUAGCACGUUGAAUGCACCAGUUCACCAUGGAUCACUGAAGUUCAACAACGUUGCGCACGGUUAGUAUCCGGUCUCACCCUGUAUAUAUUUUU